GAUGGUACCAUACCAGAAAGCCCCGGCUAACUACGUGCCAGCAGCCGCGGUAAUACGUAGGGGGCGAGCGUUAUCCGGAUUUAUUGGGCGUAAAGCGUGUGUAGGCUGUUUCGUAAGUCGUGUGUGAAAGGCGCGGGCUCAACCCGCGGACGGCACAUGAUACUGCGAGACUAGAGUAAUGGAGGGGGAACCGGAAUUCUCGGUGUAGCAGUGAAAUGCGUAGAUAUCGAGAGGAACACUCGUGGCGAAGGCGGGUUCCUGGACAUUAACUGACGCUGAGGCACGAAGGCCAGGGGAGCGAAAGGGAUUAGAUACCCCUGUAGUCCUGGCAGUAAACGGUGCACGCUUGGUGUGCGGGGAAUCGACCCCCUGCGUGCCGGAGCUAACGCGUUAAGCGUGCCGCCUGGGGAGUACGGUCGCAAGAUUAAAACUCAAAGAAAUUGACGGGGACCCGCACAAGCGGUGGAGUAUGUGGCUUAAUUCGAUGCAACGCGAAGAACCUUACCUGGGCUUGACAUGUAAUGAACAACAUGUGAAAGCAUGCGACUCUUCGGAGGCGUUACACAGGUGCUGCAUGGCCGUCGUCAGCUCGUGUCGUGAGAUGUUUGGUUAAGUCCAGCAACGAGCGCAACCCCUGUUGCCAGUUACCAGCACGCGAAGGUGGGGACUCUGGCGAGACUGCCCAGAUCAACUGGGAGGAAGGUGGGGACGACGUCAGGUCAGUAUGGCCCUUAUGCCCAGGGCUGCACACGUACUACAAUGCCCAGUACAGAGGGGGCCGAAGCCGCGAGGCGGAGGAAAUCCUGAAAACUGGGCCCAGUUCGGACUGUAGGCUGCAACCCGCCUACACGAAGCCGGAAUCGCUAGUAAUGGCGCAUCAGCUACGGCGCCGUGAAUACGUUCCCGGGUCUUGUACUAACCGCCCGUCA
rnacentral:rRNA from 1 species